AACGAACGCUGGCGGCAGGCUUAACACAUGCAAGUCGAGCGAGACCUUCGGGUCUAGCGGCGGACGGGUGAGUAACGCGUGGGAACGUGCCCUUCUCUACGGAAUAGCCCCGGGAACCUGGAAUAAUUACCGACUACCCCCUUUGGGGAAAAAAUUUAUGGCUGAAGAUCCGGCCCGCGUUGGUUUGGGAAGUUGGUGGGUUAAUGGCCCACCAACCCGACGUGCCAUAGCUGGGUUUAGGGGAUGAUCAGCCACACUGGGACUGAGACACGCCCCAGACUCCUACGGGUGGCAGGAGUGGGGAAUCUUAGACAAUGGGGGCCACCCUGAUCUAGCCAUGGCGCGUGAGUGAUGAAGGCCUUAGGGUUGUAAAGCUCUUUCAGCUGGGAAGAUAAUGACGGUACCAGCAGAAGAAGCCCCGGCUAACUCCGUG
rnacentral:rRNA from 1 species